GGGGGUGUAGCUCAGUAGUAGAGUGCCUGUUUGGCACACAUGAGACCCUGGGUCAAUGACCAGCACCCCCA
rnacentral:tRNA from 1 species